GGGCCUACGGGAGGCAGCAGUAGGGAAUAUUGCCCAAUGGACGAAAGUCUGAGGCAGCAACGCCGCGUGUGCGAUGAAGGCCUUCGGGUUGUAAAGCACUUUUACGUGGGAAGAGGAAGGACGGUACCACGUGAAUAAGGAUCGGCCAACUACGUGCCAGCAGCCGCGGUAAU
rnacentral:rRNA from 1 species